CUCCUGGGAAGUCCUCGUGUUGCACCCCUAUCUUUUUCUUCGCGUUGUCGUUUGCGGCGGUCCAGCACGCUCGCUCUGCAUGCACCCCUUUGAUCUUCCCUGCAUUUAUUUUUUUUCUCGCUGGGCUUAUCGUUUACGUCGGUCCAGCACGUUCGCUUUGGAGGCUCGGCCCGCCCCAUUGCAAAAGCACGAGCCGCAGAUCUCGUUUUGGGUGCUAAAGGGUCGCGGGGACGUCGAAAUGCGCGGAAGCCCCUCGGGUUUCACCUCUCCGGCGUUAAGGUGCAUCGUUGCGUUCGGAUCCUUUUAUAAGAAUUAAACGCUCUUAUGCUGAUGGGUGCGAUCAUACCAACACUAAUGCACCGGA
rnacentral:rRNA from 1 species